CGGCGGACGGGUGAGUAACGCGUGGGUAACCUACCUUGUACACACGGAUAACAUACCGAAAGGUAUGCUAAUACGGGAUAAUAUAUUUGAGAGGCAUCUCUUGAAUAUCAAAGGUGAGCCAGUACAGGAUGGACCCGCGUCUGAUUAGCUAGUUGGUAAGGUAACGGCUUACCAAGGCGACGAUCAGUAGCCGACCUGAGAGGGUGAUCGGCCACAUUGGAACUGAGACACGGUCCAA
rnacentral:rRNA from 1 species